GACGAACGCUGGCGGCGUGCUUAACACAUGCAAGUCGAACGGAAAGGCCCUGCUUUUGUGGGGCGCUCGAGUGGCGAACGGGUGAGUAACACGUGAGUAACCUGCCCUUGACUUUGGGAUAACUUCAGGAAACUGGGGCUAAUACCGGAUAGGAGCUCCUGCUGCAUGGUGGGGGUUGGAAAGUUUCGGCGGUUGGGGAUGGACUCGCGGGUUAUCAGCUUGUUGGUGGGGUAGUGGUUUACCAAGGCUUUGACGGGUAGCCGGCCUGGGAGGGUGACCGGGGUCAUUGGGACUAAGGUACGGCCCAGAAUCCUACGGGAGGCAGCGGUGGAGAGUAUUGCACAAUGAGCGGAAGCCUGUUGCAGCGACGCCGCGUGCGGGAUGACGGCCUUCGGGUUAUAAACCGCUUUCGCCUGUAACGAAGCGUGAGUGACGGUAAUGGGUAAAGAAGCACCGGCUAACUACGUG
rnacentral:rRNA from 1 species